AUAUCAAAAUAUUAGCUAUUGUCAACUACAGUUGAGGAGGUAACCGCGGAGGAAGUGAAAACUAUGAUCAGAGUAAUCACUCUUAUGACUCUUAGUAACAUUGGGCUCACUUCUCAAGUGAAUUAAAUAGUGAAAAUAAACUACUCCCCAUUUUUCUGGGGACCCCCAGGAACUCCCUCAAGGACCCCUGGUUGAGAAUCACUGGUAUAGAGCACUUUUAAAAGGAAUACAUUUAGGGAAAUACGCUUAUUUGCCUUCUUGCCGAGAGUUAGAUGAGGAGAUUGAUACAUCCCACUCUUCAAUAGGAAGCUGGAGCCAGGAGACGAUUAACUUAGCUUAGCAUAGCAUAAAGACUGGAAACAGGGGGAAACAGCUAACCUGUCUAAGAAUCCACCUAUCAGUACCUCUAAAUCUCACUAACUAACACACUAUAUAUCUUGUUUGUUUAAUCUGUACAGAAAAACGACAACUUGAGUCUUGUCCUCACUGUGAUGUUGCCAUGGCAACUAGCAGAGACUCCAGGAAGUCACUGCUCCACGCUAAGAAAUAGCCCCGUUUCCAGUCUUCAUGCUAAGCUUACUGUGUCCUGACUCAAGCUUCAUACUGAGCAGACACAUAUAAAAGUGGUAUCUUCUCGUGUAACUCUGGCAAGAAAGUGAGUAAGUGUAUUUCCCCAAAAACUCUUCAAGUACAAUACGGGUAACUACAUG